rnacentral:misc_RNA from 1 species
GGCGCUGCUGGUUGAGGCGGCGGAAGAGCUGGCGGUGGCCGCCGGCCGCCGCCGCAUCCGACUAGCCCUUGGCUGGCGAACCGCUCGAUCGGCCUGAAGGGGCUGAGGAUCAUCUUCGUGCUCGUGAGGGGAAACCGAUUGCUGGCGGCGGCGGUACCAGAGAAGGGGGAAGAUGGCGAGGACGAGAAACGCGCAGAGGACGC